GUGCGCAUGCGCGGCGGCGGAGGCGGGCAGAGCGGAGGCCGCCGUGGGGCCCGGGGUUCACUUAUCCUCAGGGGCGGGCGACGCGGGGGGAGGCGGCCGGGCCGGUCCCUACCUGCUACCGGAACGCGCUGGCUCCUACCGGGGAGAGCCUCUUCCUUCCGCGGCAACCUGGAGGCCGAGUCGCCCAUCCUGAAGGUGGAGCUGCAGAGCCGGAGGAGGCGCCGCGGCGCCGUUAGCAUCGCCCUCUGAGGGCGGGGAAGGGAGGCGAAGGAACCAUAGGAUGGUUUGAGUUGGAAGGAACCCUUAAAGGCCAUCUGUCCCGCUCCCUGCACUGAACAGGGACACCCACAGCUCCAUCAGUGCUCACAGCCCCGUCCAGCCUGACCUUGGCUGUCUGCAGGGAUGGGGCACCACCUCCUCUCCGGGCAACCUGUGCCAGUGCCUCACCACCCUUAUUGUAAAAAAUGUCUUCCUUAAAUCCAGUUUAGAUCUCCCUUUUUUCAGUUUGGAACCAUUUCCCCUUGUCCUAUCACACCAGACCCUACUUGGAAUCUGUCCCUUUCUUUCUUACAGCCCCCAUUGCCCUGCUGGCCACACUGCUUCCAAUGCAGCCCAGGAUACAAUUGGCUUUCUGGGUUUCGUGCCCAGCUUGCCAUCCACCAGUACACCUUAGAGGGAUUUUUAGCUGCAUGGCCUUCUCAGGGGGUAUGUACCCAGCACAUCGGCCCUCUGACUUUCUGUCUAAGCCCCCACUUGGGUAUGAGAAGGUUGAGAGGGGCAUACACAUUUAGCAAGAUGUGCUACACAUGUUCUUUGUACAGUAAUAUGCUUUAUAAUGCUUUUUUUUUUUUCCCCUAGACUCUGCUCAUCUUUGCAGCAGUCCACUAUGUCAUGUUUAGUCAACACACUGCAUCAUGAUGAUUGGACAAUUUAUUUUUAUUGUCUUUUCCAAUCUGUAUGAUUCUACGCCAAUCUUGCAUGAUUUCAUGUUGGCUUUUUUAUGUGUAUAUAGAAUACGUGCUAAAUAACAAAUCUUCCAAUACCAGUGUCUAUGUGUAUGUUUGCAAUAAAAACACAGGAACAAGAAGUGAAUGGAGUAUCAAGACUUGCAGAAAAUACCCAUCAUCUUUCAGAGAGUAAUACACGUAAUGUGUAUUUUAUAUACAGCAACAAGCACUACGUUUCCUAAGGUGGAAGACACAGAAGCUGGAACACUGCUGCUUUUUUUUUCAGAGAACUGUUUGUGAAGUCGUGGGCAGGAGAAGGGAAGUUUGUUCCAAAACUGCUGACUGCAAAGAAAGUUGGAGAACUAGGCAGAUGCCUUGCACUGUGAAUUUCAGAAUAAGGGAAAAGAUAAUGCACAAAUGUGAAGCAAAGACAUUAUGGGAAGGAAAUGAGAGUAAUUCAAUGCAAAAUUCAUAUGGAGGGUUGUAAAGAAGUUGGAUGCUUGCCUGAAUAGAAAAGAAUAUGAUAAAAUGACAAUCUAGUCUGACAGAGGGAGGCCAGAUAGUUCUCUCAAAAAUGUAUUGUGCCAAAAGAACGAAGUGCCAUUCACCUCCCAGUCAAACAGGAUUUUACAGGAAUGUGAUGCUCUUGUGACACAGCGUUUAUUCAGCUUUAUAGAGAUGUUGGAUGUGGAUGCUUACAGUGUCGCUGAGAAUUCCUAGAUGCUCCCAAAAGAAUCUGGAGAAGCAGGAAAUCCAUGGUGUAAGAGCCAGGCUUCUCAUAAAAUUCAAAUCUCAGAUGGGGACCUGAGAAAUGAGCUGUCCCAUGUCUGUCUUCAGAUUCACUGUUCUUCCCAGAAUAACAGAAUUGUAGGGGUUGGAAGGGAGUUCUGGAGAUCAUCUAGUCCAACCUAAGGCAGGUUGUCUCGAGUUCCUGUACAUGAAACAGCGUUCUCUUUGAAGCACAAGUAGUCCCGUGCUUGCAGUCCAUUUGGAGUUUUAUAUAUAUUUCUAUUGAGAAAUAGGACCAGAGAGGAGCUCAGGUGAUAUCUUAAAAAUCUGCAAUAACUUAAAGGAAAUCCAUUAGAGAAGUAAACAUAGAGAUGCAUAUGAUGGAUAACUGUGAUAUUUCAACAGCAUACACUUCAAAGAAUUGGAAAUGUUCAGUGAAAAACCGUGAAUUCCAUCUAAAACAUAUUCUCUUAUAUAGCAUCAACAAUACUGAUGAUUCCCAACUCUUAUAAGCCACUAAAAAUGAUGACAUCCACUGGACUGGUAGCAAAUAAUUCUCUUCCUCCUUGUUUGUCUCCAUUUUUUUCCAUUUCUCCUUGUAUUUCUAUACUCACUUCACUCUCUGCCAAGGACAUGCAUCUAAAAAAAAUUCAAUGAUUAAUGUUACGAUGGACAGCAGUGCAGUUUUUACUGUAAGAGUUAAUGUGUCUGUCGAUGAAACUGUGAAUGCCCAACCUGAAUCUUUUACUGUGAGCACUCCUGCUGCCUCGUUGUGAGUGGUUCCAUUUUCAUUGCCAUCUUCCUUGCAUGAAUCGAGGUCAAUCAGAGGUGAAAGACAGAAAAACAGACUUCUGUUUGGGCAAUUCAGUCUGGAGAUGAAGUGGCUGAGACCUUUCAGGGCCCUUAUGCGCUCUGAAAAGCCAGCAUCCCCUCUGCUCAGUGUUCCCAGUGGUCUUCCAUGCUGAAUAUGCUGCCCAAAUGUAUUUAGAUUAUGUCUCUUAAAUCAGAGGUGUUCUUUGUUACAGGAAAAAACUGCUUUGUCACCCAUUGCAUUCAGCUGCUUCAUUUGUGAAGCUGACAGCAGCAGAGCAGGGCGCUAAAGGAUUGACACUGGGACUCCAAAACAGUGGUUAGAGCAGUGACAGAUAGCGGGGCUGCUGAAGCAUUUCGAUUACAGCUAUUAAGGGCAGGAAACAGUCUUUCAUUCUGUGUUUGUAUGGCACUUCACACACUGUGUUCCUGCUUCAGAGCUGGAUCCUAAGUAUUAAAUAGUAAUAAGCCGUGAUGCCACUUAACAAAUAAAAACUGCUGGUUCAGAGGAGUGUUUAGUGCUUCUUCACUCCGUGGAAACAGAAUACUUUUUUAAUUCAUUAAAUCUCCUUUGUAUUUCAGGAAAGUGUGAACUAUCCCCUCUUCCCAUUCUAGAGGCUGAGAAGGAAGAGCCUAAAAUUUACACCGUAGGUUUUUAAAGUUUUCAUACCAAGAAUUUGCCUGUCCAAGAAAGCAGCAGAACCCAAUUAUCUUUGUACUGAUAAUACACUGUGCUUCAUGUUGAAACGUGGACUUCAUAUCUGCCAACACAUUGAAUUGAAUUAAGAAGUGUAUCAGAAAAAAAAUCACAUUAAAGUGGCUGACUGUUGCUUGGAUUCCCAUGUAAUAAUCACAGUAUCCCUAGUACAACCAUUUUACAGUAUGUGCUGAAGACCUUCAGGAAAUCAGUGUGAAGAAGGAGAAAGGUGCAAAGGAGAAAACAGGAAGAAAAGGGAUGUGAACUUAUCUGUGUCCUUCCAGGCAGGGCUAUACACAGAUUCCCAAUCAUUCCAUUUUUUGGGAUCGUGAUCAAAAUGCAUUUGACAUUUACUGUAUAUAGUCCUUGCCUUUAGAGCAGGAUUUGCUCGCCUUUUUGGAUAAUUGUUUUUUCCAGUGUAGCAAAAUUUGCUGUGUUUUGCAACCAGUAAAGCCCCUGUGACUACCAUCCCCCUACCCCCCCACGUGACUAUCUCAUGGUAAUAACACUGAUUGUAAAGCCAGGUUUCUGUUGCAGUGUGCAUCUUCUGGAAGAGCACUGUUUCGGUUUUUGUUUUUUGAUUUUCAAACGUGUAGCAAUAGAGGAUCCUCUGUGGGCUUUGGUGGAUUAUUCAGUGCUUAAUUGCUGUUAGAAACACGCACUUUAUUGUUAGUUCAGCUUCCUUUGAAUCAUAGCUUAUCUUUCCUUGCAUUUCUUGUUUUCUAAUUCUGCAAGUAUUGUCAUUGCCCUUCUUUGAACCCUCUCCAGGUUUUUAGUUGACGUAUUUCCUUAUUUAAUUAUUUAUUUCAUUGCCCAGUCUGAUGAAGGUAUGAAUAAUUAGUGCAGCAUUCUGGUACUGGUCACAACAAAGCAAGUACAGAUCUAGUAUGGUUUCCUGGUUCCUGCUUGGUUUCGUGUUCAUAUGUCCAAGGCAGUCAGUAUUAGCCUUGCAGCCCUGGAGGUAUGCUACUGACAUUCCCAAGGGCUCUUCAGGAAUUUAUUACCAAUGUAUAGAAAUACAUACAUUAUGGCAGAUAUGCAGGAAACUAUGUUCUAUGUCUUUCCUUGGCCUCCUUUAAAUUAUUAGGAUAGUCUUGUACCAAUUUCUAAUCAUCUUUGUUACUACCACAUCCACAGUUUUUGGGUCAGCUGCUAGCAGUUGGAAAUUACUGUCUAUAUUCCUCUCUAUCAUUGUUAGGAAUGUCCAAUAAUGGAGCUCAGAACUGAUGCCUACAUGACAUCACUGUAAACAUGCCAACCCUGUGAAGAUUGCCUCGUUGCAGUCACAGUUUGUGACCAGUUAGGUAAUGAGAUCUCUGAAAAUGAACAUAUUUUCAUCAGGACAAACCUGCUGCUUCCCCACUUCUAGCAAAAAGACAUGAACUGGUGCUCAGGAGGUUUUUCAAUCAAGGGAAGUAGAGAUUUUAAGUACCACAAUUCUUUUAGGAAGCAACAAACCUGAAUUCCUGUAUCAGCAGCUGUAUCUGUUACCCAGAAGGACAGUGAAGAUCAUAAUACAGUAAAGCAAUCUACAUGAAACAGUUUCUAGAGAGAGGAGGGAAGAUUAAUCAGUCAUUCACGUGCUUUCCAUUUGUGAUCUAGAUGAGAAUUUGGAUACAGAUUCAGCUACAUAAAUUACACUAAAAAUGGAACUGACGUAGAAGAGCCAUCAGCACUGUACCUCAGAGUAGUGCAGUGAUUUGGGAUUUACAGAAGAAUAUAAAAAACAAGGGACAAUUUAAUGGAGUACCGUGCAUGCCAGGGAGAAGGCAAAAAUGCAGGAUACCAGCAGUGUGCUUACACAGGUUGUUCUUUGUUUUUCCAUUUCAACGUAGCAAUUAUGUAAAAAAAGCUAAUGAAACAGAUAUGCUAUCUGCCAGUUUUCCUUCCUAUCAGCCUGCAUAUGCCUUGGUUCUCUCUUUCAGUGAGGGUUCAGGAUGUAUCUUUAUAGCUGAUCCCAAUAUGUUCAAACAAGCCAGGGUGAUGCAGACGAGCAUUUUUUGGGUCUGUCCAUCAAUGUUUCUACGUGAAUCAGGCUUAGAGCUCUCCCAGUAACCAGGAGUUAGCAGUUGGCCAGUUUACAGAUGUCUUCUUCAGUGGUGUGGCUUCUCUCAGCUCUAUAAAUCUGGGCUUAAAAGCAGUUACCAGCAGCUGAGGCUCAGCUCUGGGGUUUUUUAAUCACAAUUUCCAGCUGUGGUACAAAGUACUCUGUAGGUCAAUUCCGGUUUCUACUCUGAGAAGACCAAUUACGCAGUACGUUCAGUGGCCUGUGCUGCACAGAUCAGUUUAGAUUUCAAUAUGGAUUUCACCAGAAAGUGUCAUGAUACGGCCCUUCCCUUGGUAAAAUUAUAUUGUUGAUAGAUUUUUCAAUGAAUAUCCUCUGCAUCUUUCACUUAGGAAUUUCUGUGUUUCUGUCCCCUUCAAUGCUAGUUAUGCAGGAUGGUCUUCAUGGAUAGAAAUAAAGUGGUGCAUGUGAGAACAGAAGAAAAAACAGCUUUGGGUAGGACUGAUAUCACCCAACCUUAGCUCUGGCAUCUCAUCCAAACUGAGCUUCUGAGUAUCAUCCAUACCAAAGGAAGGAAGGUCAGUAUCUCCAGAACAUAAUUCAUCCCUUCUUAAAAUAGCAGAGGAAAGCAGAGAGGCUGGACUCAAGUUUAUUUCAUCUAGUUCACAGCAGAAGGUGCCUUGUUGAAUAGCUUGGAACAGAUAUCUUUUGAUAACCAGAAUUAGCUAUGUUUUUUUCCUUUUAUUUACCUAGAAAAAACUGCAGACUUUUACAGCAAACUUCAGUUCUGUAAAAUUUUUUCUCUUUUUAUGCACUGACUUUCCAUUCCGAAAAAAAUAACUGUUUUAACACACUAUGCUUCAUAUCUCCCAUCACAGUGACCGUCUUUCAUUCCUCAGUCCACAUUUUCCUUGUUGAUCUCAUAGUUCUCCAGAACUUUCUUCCCUCCUAAUGCAUUUUCUUCCCGAACCCCAAAUUCAUAUUUGCUGACCUAGUUGUCUUUUUUAAGUUCUUCCAAGUCACAGAAAAGCCUUAAGUCCACUCACGUAAAUCCAUACAAGUGGCUAAAGUGUAUUGAGGUCUUCUGUUUGUUUAAAGUAGUUGUUAGUGAAGAAGCCACACAGUGCUAACUUGUAACCUGUCCCUCUCCUUCAGAGUAACCUUGCACUAGGGCAGCUGCUCUGUUACAGCUACCAUCCGGUCUGCCUUGUGAACGCAGACAAAUGGUGUAUAACUGGAUUUCCUUUAUAAUCUUCCAUAACAAGGAAGACCCACUUAAAUUCUGCAGAUAACAUAGAAUAUCUCCGAAAUCUGUAAAAACAUCACUUCUCUAACCAAUAAAGCAAGGGCAUUUUUUCCUGUCAGGAUGCCUUGUAGUAGAUUAGAUAGCAGAAAAUGUAUUACUGACGUGUGUUUUUGGCAGCCUUCUCUGCUUAUAUGCAUGGAAAAACACUUAAUCUAAAUACCGUGGCUCUGUGGUUGUUUUCAUCUGAAGUUAAAGCCACGCAAUUAAAAAAAUACUAAUAAUAAAGCUAAUGGAAUCGAUUAAGUUUUUUAGGUGGAAAAUGCAGCCAAUGGAAGGUUGGAGCUGAUGCAUCGGUAUCACGUUCACAAGAUGCGGUCCCUCGAUAAAGGCUCAGAGACCUCUGCAACAUCAACACGGGCUGAGGAUGUUCUCUAAAUGCUUUGCACUGUGUCUCGUAGAUUCCUUGGCUUUGUCAGCUGGUGCUGGUUUGUAUGCAGUGGCACUGAUGACUUUAUAAAAACAAAUGACAGAGUUGUUUACACGGCCUUGCUAAAGGAAAUAAUCACAUUUAAUAGUGCUGGUUUCCCAUACAGGCCUUUAAAAAGGGGCUCUCCUGCUAUAUGCUGUAAUAAGCUUUUUAUAAAUGCGUUCCUGUGGUGCUCAGUACAGCCUGCUGUGCUGAUACUAUAAAACCAAAGGGGAGCUUCAUAAGCUUUAAGUGCAAUCAUAUAUUACUGUGCAGCAGCAUUCCCUUUUAUUAAUAAAGUUUGUAAGAAAUACCCAGGCAAAGAUUAAAAAUACAUGUAUGACACUAUCCACGGUAAUAAAAGCUGAUGUUGUCUGGA